rnacentral:rRNA from 1 species
UACGUAUGGAGCGAGCGUUAUCCGGAUUCACUGGGUGUAAAGGGAGCGUAGGCGGCGCGCCAAGUCCGAUGUGAAAACCCGCGGCUCAACCGGGGGACUGCAUUGGAAACUGGCGAGCUAGAGUGUCGGAGGGGCAAGCGGAAUUCCUGGUGUAGCGGUGAAGUGCAUAGAUAUCAGGAGGAACACCGGCGGCGAAGGCGGCUUGCUGGACGACUACUGACGCUGAGACUCGAAAGCGUGGGGAGCAAAC